CUGAGUUAGGGUCUUCUCAGGCCUGACCUCCAACCCUUUGUUUACUUGACCGCGUGUUGCUUCGGCGGGCCCGUCCCUCCGGGGACCGCUGGAGAGUCCUAUGUGACUUUCUAGCCCGUUGCUCGUCGGUGGCCCAAUCUCAAAACCUUCUGAUCGAAAAACCAGUGUCUGAACACUUGAUAUACCAAAUCAAAAAGCA
rnacentral:misc_RNA from 1 species